ensembl:lncRNA
CUCCUGUGGUCAGCCAGGUAGUGCAGGUGGUGCAGGUGGUGCAGGUGGUGCAGGUGGAGGUGUGGCGGCAGAGACACAGUCAGACAGCUGGUUGGUUCCCCCAGGGACUCCGUUUAUUCACCAGGACGUGAAGCUUCACACCUUUAGGAUCAUUCGGUUUUGGCACCUUUUAAGAUUUCAUUUUCAACACAUUAAAAAUCAAAAUCAACAAAGAAAAAAUGGCUAAGGCUGUGUGAAUUUUGAAAAAUAAAAUACAUACGUACAGAUAUUAUUUAUAUAUAUAUUAUUUUUUAUAAAGAAAUCAACCAAACUAUUUUUAAAAAAAGCAUUUCUGUUCAAUGUAGGUUGGUUUGGUUUUGUCUCAUAAAAGCAGUUAAAGAUUAAAACGAACCGAAUAGAUAAUAAAUAAAUAGAAAAAUAAAUAACAAAGAAACACAUGGACACAUUAAUACGUUACAUUUUAGUGUCUUUGCUUUUCCCUUUAUAAUUGUAACCCUUAAAACUUAAGUUUCCAAAGAGCAGAUUUGCUGUAAUUUUAAUAGCAUGCAUUUUAACUUCUGAAAUUGUGAGUCACUUAGCUUCUCUUGUACUAUGUCAUAUUUAACUUGUUUCUUUUGCAACUCGACGUUUUUUUGUGUAUUUUCAGAAUCGGCCGUUCUCUCUUUCCCCUCCCUCUCCUCCUUCCCGUUUGCCUCGAGGCGUAAAUCGUGUUCGGAGUUUGUUUUUGGAGCGAAUCCCGAGCCCUCUUGUGUUGGUUGUUGGUUCUUUCUCAGGGAAAGGCAGACGGGUGGGGUUGAGGGCGGUGUAACUCCCCCAACCCCACCCGCCGAACACCUUCCCGGCAAAAAAAGAAAGCGAACAGGGAUGGUCGGAAAAGACGAGAAGGUUCGUUAAAAAGAAUAGAUAUAUCUGUACCGUGGCUGCCUGCGUAUGGCUGGAGAGAGCACCAGCCCCCCCCAGGAGUGGUGGUCUAGCGGACUACUGUCCCCCCCCUCCCCGACUCUCAGAAGGGGUUGGGGGGGAGCGGCUCGUCUUACAAACAGCGCCUGGUCCGUUUACGUUUUACUUGAGUUCGUUUUUUUCUCCUUUGUAUUUUUUUUUUCUUUUGCUUUUUUUUGCUUCAGUUAAAGUUCUGUCUCUUGAUUAUUAAUGUAAUAAUUUAUUUAUAAAAAGUUAUACAUAUAUAUAUAUAUAUAGAACCUUUGUUGGAGUUUACAGAUUGGGCGUUUUUUCUUUACUGAAUCCCAAGCUGCAACAAUUUCACAGUUUUAAUGCAAAAAAAGGAACGUUUUGAACACAUAAACGUCGGUAACUGAAGGAGGUGUGUGUUUAUGCUGUGGGCUGAGAGGGGGAUGGCUUGAUCUUCUCCCUGUGGGGUAAAACAGUCAAACAACAGGGCUAUGAAACCAUGAAAUCAAACACUUCUCUUGCAGACCCCGCCCCCGCCGACCCCAGGCGCCCCACCGACCAAUGGGAUCGGGCCGGACUCGAGUGUCACUGGUUCCCGCGGUUACGGCCGCGGCCAAAGGUCACGGAGAAGUCAUGCAGCUCGACCAAACAGAAGAGAAAUGUCUAUAAACACACGAAGCCACCCUGCGUACCUGUGGUAAAGUGGACACACACACAGGCACACACACACAAGCGCACACACUGGCACACACACACACAUCACACACACACACGCGCACACACACACACACAUCCGCAAACACACAUACACACAAACGGCUAGCCCAUAGUCCCACCAGAGCUCCGUCCCAGGCUUGGACCCUGGGUAACCCUGGGCAACCCUGGGUAACCCCCCCCCCC